rnacentral:rRNA from 1 species
UACGUAGGGUGCGAGCGUUAAUCGGAAUUACUGGGCGUAAAGUGUGCGCAGGUGGCCGCGCAAGUCGAGUGUGAAAUCCCCGAGCUUAACUUGGGAAUUGCGCUCGAAACUACGUGGCUCGAGUGUGGCAGAGGAAGGUGGAAUUCCACGUGUAGCGGUGAAAUGCGUAGAUAUUGGGAAGAACACCGAUGGCGAAGGCAGCCAUCUGGACCGACACUGACGCUGAGGCGCGAAAGCGUGGGGAGCAAACAGG